AGAGAGAGACAUGCGCGCAUAUCAAUAAGCGGAGGAAAAGAAACUAACUAGGAUUCCCUCAGUAACGGCGAGUGAAGCGGGAAGAGCUCAAAUUUGAAAUCUUCAAGGUUUUACCUUGACGAAUUGUAGUUUAAAGAAGUGUUUUCUGUUAGGAGUUAGGUAAAAGUUCUUUGGAAUAGGACAUCAUAGAGGGUGAGAAUCCCGUAUUUGACCAUUAUUUUCAGCUGUGUGAUACACUUUCAAAGAGUCGGAUUGUUUGGGAAUGCAGUCCAAAAUGGGUGGUAAAUUUCAUCUAAAGCUAAAUAUUGGCGAGAGACCGAUAGCGAACAAGUACCGUGAGGGAAAGAUGAAAAGAACUUUGAAAAGAGAGUUAAACAGUACGUGAAAUUGUCAAAAGGGAAGCGUUUGACACCAGUGUUGUUUUCUCGAAAAUCAAUUAAAAAUGGCGGAUUUUGUGUUGUAUUGACCUUUAUCAAGCUUUCUACACUUUUCUCCUGUCUUUUUUAAUGCACUUUUCGUUUAACAAGUCAACAUCAGUUUCUUUUGUUGUAAAAGGGUCAUUGGAAGGUGGCUUUCUUUUCGGAGAAAGUGUUUAUAGCCUUUGCUCUCUGCAAUCGGAGAGAUUGAGGUCUGCAGCGUAGACUCCUUCGGGGUUAGAUACAUUUGUGCUAAGCUAUAGCCUUUUCAUAGACAACUUGUUGACUAUGAUCAGUCAUGUAGCUUACUCGCUUAUGUCUAUUUUACCUACGCUUAGGAUGUUGACAGCAGUAUAGACUGUU
rnacentral:rRNA from 1 species